GGAGGGUACGCCCAAUCGGCAGGGCACCCGUCUCGAAAACGGACGGCUUCGGCCAUGAGGGUUCGACUCCCUCACCCUCCG
rnacentral:tRNA from 1 species